rnacentral:rRNA from 1 species
CCUACGGGGGGCAGCAGUGAGGAAUAUUUGUCAAUGGACGAGAGUCUGAACCAGCCAAGUAGCGUGAAGGAUGACUGCCCUAUGGGUUGUAAACUUCUUUUAUAUGGGAAUAAAAUGUUCCACGUGUGGGAUUUUGUAUGUACCAUAUGAAUAAGGAUCGGCUAACUCCGUGCCAGCAGCCGCGGUAAUACGGAGGAUCCGACCGUUAUCCGGAUUUAUUGGGUUUAAGGGGAGCGUAGGUGGAUUGUUAAGUCAGUUGUGAAAGUUUGCGGCGCAACCGUAAAAUUGCAGUUGAAACUGGCAGUCUUGAGUACAGUAGAGGUGGGCGGAAUUCGUGGUGUAGCGGUGAAAUGCUUAGAUAUCACGAAGAACUCCGAUUGCGAAGGCAGUUCACUGGACUGCAACUGACACUGAGGCUCGAAAGUGUGGGUAUCAAACAGGAUUAGAUACCCUAGUAGUC